rnacentral:lncRNA from 1 species
GUUAUUUUACAUGUUAAUCAUAGAUACUGUGAUUGCUUUGCCAAUGGUGAUUUUUGCAACAAUUGCAACUGCAGUAACUGUUACAACAAUCAACUUCAUGAAAGUGAGCGAUUUCAAGCAAUUAAGGCCUGUCUUGAUAGAAACCCUGAAGCUUUCUUACCAAAGAUUGGGAAAGGGAAACCAGGAGAAAUUAAACCUCACCAUAACAAAGGAUGUAAUUGCAAGCGUUCAGGAUGCCUCAAGAAUUAUUGUCAGUGCUUUGAGGCAACCAGCUUUACGCAUGUCUUUGGAAGAAGUGAAAGCGACGUGUGCUUGCCUCCUGGUGCAAGCUGAAGAGGCAGAAAAAAGAGGUUACUCUCUCCGUCUAGCUGAGCAGAUGAUCAUGGAGGAAUUUGGGAGAUGUUUAUCCCAGAUCCUACAUGCAUAGUUAAAAUUUAAAGAACUGAAAGUUGAAUAAUGUUCAAUGUAUUAUAAAGCAAAUAAGUAUUAAUAUUGAUAUAUGUUGCCAUAAUCUCCACAAUUUUGCUACUUUAUGAUCUUUGAUUUUUCAUAGGAAUAGUUUCAUUAACUUCAGCUGAAUUAUUUCUGAAUUAUACUGGUGUAAGUGAAACCAGCGCCACAUCUGGCAUUUUUCCAAGUAACUUAGUACUGUAGAAAGCUUAUUAUAUUUUUUCGAAAACAGAUUUUCCUCUGUAGUCAGUGCUUUCUGAGCUAAUUCUUCAGUAUUUACUUAGACUCUUAUUAAAAGUAAGUUUAACUUAAAAUGGCUUUAUUGUAUGCUUAUGUAAGAAGAGAUGCAGUAAAAAUUGAGUAAGAAUUUCCUAUCUUAGUUUGGUUAUUUUAUGAAUUGUGAAACAAUUUCAUUUCCAGUGGUAGUAGGCAAAUAUACCUAGGCAAAGUUUAGCUUUGGGUCAUCUCUGUUUUGAAAUCCAGUUUCUCUUAAAGCUUGGAUUAUCUGUUGUUUAAUUAUUCUUUUUUCUUAUGUGGAGGUUUUCUCUGUGACAUUUCUUCCUCUUCUCAUUCUCACCAUUGGGGUGAUAAUAAAUUUUCUCUAAUAGAAGUAAGCUAUUUGCUG